GCCUCAGGGCAUGCUGGGAGUUGUAGUUUUUACAGCGCCGCGGACGUCAUCCUUGGGCAUCCCCGGAGCUACCCGUUCCGUGUCCGGGCCCAUGACGAGGCCCGGGGCCAGCCUGGGCGCGGGGCUUGGUGGAGGUGCUAGUGGAAUGAACCCCGGAGAGCCAGAGGAAAGCAAGGCCUGAGACCUUUCAACAGUCUGUAGGAGAGUGAAUGGUGGCCUGGAUUGGUAGGGUCCUGGGGACAUCGCAGUGACUUGGACCCGGUGCAGGCCAUGGCAGAAAAAUAGUCAAACCCUCCUGGCUUCAGCGCCCAGAAGAGGGCUGAGGAAUGUGAAUCAACCCGACACAGUAAGUGGAUCCUUCUGCCAAGAGUCCACAACUUGCUGGAAUCCCCAGUCCCCGCAGGACGUCCCCACCGGCGGUCUCUGAAGCUCCCGGUCCCUUGCAGGGAAACACUCUCGACUGGCACGUAAAACUGACCUCCCUGAUGGAAAUGUUCUGUAGAAAUCAGUUCAGAGAACGCACACAACUUCACCUGGGACUCAAACAAUUCCUAAUAGGAUAGACCUGGGCAAGAAGAUCACAUCCAGUCCGUUUGAAGUCCUGCUUGAAGGCAUAAUCCAAUGCCAAAACUUCACUUUAGUCGGAGGUCCCCACAUGCCUGCCUAAAAUACCUUCGGCAACUAAGUUGUUUAUAAUGUUUUGCAGAUACAUUUGAAGCCCCAGUUUAUGGAGGGCAGCCAGGAGUUUAAAAACAGAAGCGUCCUUUCCCAGCUUCUUUCUCCACGUCAAGAGCAUCUUAUGACGCUGCUCCGUUAAAUUGCCUGGAUUCUCGCAUUCGCAAGAGUCAAUGUCCGUCUCAUCCAGACCGAUUAACCUCAUGAACAUCU